AGUCAGACCAAAACUUCAAUGUGGUGGAAAGCAAUAACGACGAACGCGUCUUUAUCUACGCACUGACCUUUGCAGAGUUAGGCUUACAAAAAGAUCAAGGAGAAUAAAAGAAACAGAGAAAUAUAAAUAGAAUGAAUAAAGAGGUGGAAACACGACGGAAAUUCAUUCAAGUGUGGCAAGGAUAUUUAUAUUUGCAGCUGGCAUUUUGUCUACGAAAAUGUCACCACAGAAGAUAAUCCUGAUCCUAUACCUGCAGAUGUCAGUAAGGGAAGGGUUGAACGAACGAAAUUUCAAGCGAAAGGCGUGUUUGAGCGUUGGACAGAGAUAAAUUGCCUUCACAAAACAGCAGCGAAAACCGGCUUCAUCGCCAGUCGGAUAAAUCUGAACAAGAAAAUGCAGCCUUGAUAGAUUAGAGGUAAUCAGUGGUUGAAGAUCUCAUUCAAGGCUCAUUCAAGUGCGGCAAGGACAGUUUUCUCCACCCGGAAAACACAUCAUUCAGUAGUUCGGGCAACGUUCUCGGCGGGAAAAAAUUAAAUCGUCGCAAUCUUCAACUACCAACGGCCUGAAAUCUAAUAAUGCCCUAGCCGAUGCAUGUUUUUUUACACGUCUGGCAAUGAGUGUCACCACAGGCUUACCAACCUCUCAGUCAGUCUCCAGUAAACCCCAGUAACUAGCUCGAAUAUUUUCACUAUUGAUCACCUCCUGUAAUUGUCCUAUAAUUGUCUUAUAUCUUAGAAUAAAGGUCACAA